rnacentral:rRNA from 1 species
CCUACGGGAGACAGCAGUGGGGGAUAUUGGACAAUGGGGGGAACCCUGAUCCAGCGACGCCGCGUGAGUUAAGAAGUAUCUCGGUAUGUAAAGCUCUAUCAGCAGGGAAGAAGAAAUGACGGUACCUGAGUAAGAAGCCCCGGCUAACUACGUGCCAGCAGCCGCGGUAAUACGUAGGGGGCAAGCGUUAUCCGGAAUUACUGGGUGUAAAGGGAGCGUAGACGGUGAUGUAAGUCUGGAGUGAAAGGCGGGGGCCCAACCCCCGGACUGCUCUGGAAACUAUGUGACUGGAGUGCAGGAGAGGUGAGCAGAAUGCGUGGGGUAGCGGGGAAAUGCGUAGAUAGUAGGAGGAACACCAGUGGGGAGGGCGGCUGACUGGACUGUAACUGACGUUGAGGCUCGAAAGCGUGGGGAGCAAACAGGAUUAGAUACCCGGGUAGUC